CCCAAGCAUUUUUCCCCUGUUGCUUAUUUGGUUGCUGGUUUUUUCUUUGCGGUUUUUGUUCUGUUUCGUUUCUGAUUUUUUAAACAGUGAAAUAUGUCCAAUUUUAUUUCCAGUGCAUUAAACACAUUUUAAAUUAAAAAAAGAAAUAAAACUUUCCCCUCAUCCUUCUAAAGGAAAUGACUGAUAAAAGUACAAUAUAAUAAAAUCAGGCAUUGCCAAAAAUAGCAUGAUGUGCAACCUCAAUUACAUCAAGAAAAACAAACAGACAAACGAGAAUUAUAAACCGUAAGCAAGAAGGAGCCAAGACUAUAUAAUCCCAACUAUGGUAUGAUUGGCAAGCACUGGUUAAAAAUAGGUAAGGCUACUCUUAGAUUUCUAACUCAACAUAGUUAACCACUGCUCUUCUGUCUUUUCUUUCAACUCUUAAUCUUUCACUCACUAGUUCUUUAUAUCUUUAAAAUGAACAAAUUUGUUUUUAUAUUUUUGGUCUACAGUAGAAUUACAUAUUAAUAAUAUAAUAAAAAGGUAUUUCAUUAACAGGUUGGUACUGCAUCCAUGUGGAGAAAAUAGAGAAAAAGCACUCAAACAAACAUAGCAAAUGGACGCUACUUUUACAAAAAUAACCACAAAUAUAAUAGAAAUUAUAAACAGGGCAACAGACUGAACUGAAAGAUAUAUUUGGGGUAAUACAAACUCCUGAUAAGCUAUGCCCUAGAAUCGCAGCCUCCAAACCUUUCCUGUGAUGUCCACCUUUCCAUAGUAUCACUUGAAAUUCAAAUGGAAAUGGAAACAAAAUGAAAAUAAAAGAAACCAAGGAACCAAAUAAUUCUUCUGGUAACAUAUAAUAUACGAGAUGAAAUAGAACUGCAAUAAAGGGGACAUGGGGGUGAGGUGGGAAAGAGAAGAGAGAGGAGAAAUAGGCAAACUUGGGGCACCACCAUCCUUUGUUUUCUGCAACACAUUGGUUCCCUUCUUUCUGAGCAUCCUUCAGUAUUAGCUACAGGCCCCAAUGUCCUGUGAGCAAACAUGCGUUGGCUCAGCUCUUGGCCUGACCUCUAUACUUAUUGGCUUUCCUAAGGGCUUGAUGGCUCCGGAGGCUCCCUGCCGCCACUGCCCCAUGCCUUUGAUGAAGCAGAGAAGGAGUGCAAAGUUGUGAUGACAGAGGCCCUUUACACUAACCAUUCCCACUUCACUGGUUUUUUCACACUGACGGUCCAGUGUGGGAAAAUAAGAAGGAAAGGAAUUCAUAAGAGUUGAGCUUGGUCAUCAAGCGUAAAGUUUACUUCCAGGAAAACAAAGAAAAAAACCCCCAAAAUCCAAGAUGAAGAAGAAGAAGAAGAGGGUGACAAUGACAAAGAAAUGGCAUCAGUCAGAAAAUACUGCUUUUGGUUUCUUUUAACUUUGAAUCGUCCUUGGUUUUUCUCUCAUUCAACUGCUCCAGUUUAAAGUAAAGUUUAGAAUCUAGUGCAAAUAUCAUCACAUCAUACCAUUCCAGGAGCAAUACCGUAUCCCUUCAUCCUAAGUGAAUACUAUCCCUUCGGACCUCCUCAGAAGACUGGGGGCAAUGAUCCAGAAAAGCACAACUGAACAGAUUAUUAAUCUAGUACUCACUACAACAAGAAAGGCACUAUCACAACAGAUCAGCCUCAGCAUUUUCCUUGCCGUGGGCAUGGAUGUUUUAACCUCUCCACUAACCACAAUGAAACCCAGACUGUGGCUUUUUCAGUACUUGAAUCCACUGACCAGUUGUCUGACUUCCCCACUGGCCACUCCUCUUGGCUCUGGCCAUGCACAGCCCUGAUCUGCUCUGUGUCCAUGUUGCCCCACGUUUCACCAAUGAUCCUUGAGUGGUUCUAAAUGAUUUAGCUCACUCUCUUCCAUGGAGGUUUCUUUCUCUCCAUCAGUCUCCAGGUCAUCAUGACUCUAUUAAAGACUAGUUUACAGUGUCAGGUACUAUCGUUUAUUAUUUUUUUUCCUAUUUUUUAAUCCUCUAACCAAACCCUAAGUCAUAAAGACAGUUCAGUAGCUCCUCUAGCAACAAGUCUCUUGUCAAUAUCACUGUGAACAGAAUGAAAGCCAAAGUAUCACCCCCUGACCACCUUGAGCUUGCUGUAUUACUUCUGUUUGGGAGAGAGGAGGUUGGGCUCUGGAAAUUAAAAUCUUUGGUGACAAAACUGGAGUGGGUUUGCAAGUUUCAAGGAAGAAGUUAUUUUCCAAAAGCCUCAAGAGAAGUAACCUAGGACAGUUAAUGUGAAUGUAUUUUAAAAGGUCAAUUAUUUCUUUCUGUAACUUUGGUCUGGUAUAGUCAGUAUCUUCUCAGUGCUUACCCAACACACAGCUCUGUUAAGAGCUCUGAAUUUAGAGUUUCUUAUUUAAAAGGGAGAUAAUACUUUGAGUGCUUAAGGGAUUGCUUACGUUAGUUCUGAAAGCUCUAAAUGGAGUUUUUCUGCCUAACAAGGCUGACAGCUUCCUUCACCAUCUUUUAACUUGGAAAAGUAGACUUGGAAGGAUGCUAAGGAGGAGAGAGAAAGAGCUACCUAUCAAUGUAAGAGGUCUCAACGGAGAGUUUUCCCAAUUGAUGCCCCAACAUGACAGUGAUCAGAGAAACUCAACAUUUUACCCAUUGAUGUGGGUUGUGAUCCUUUCUUACUGAACCAGAAUCUUCAAAGCUGUCACCGUGGAUUCUGGAAGAAUCCUUCAGCAUCUUCACUCUUUUGUUAUUAUUCCCUAUACAAUCUAUUGCUUUUCCUGUGGUGAAAGAUUCUUUUAUUAAUAGUCACGAAAGAGCUGUCAAAUUCUAAUUAUUUCUAAGAUUUAGAAAGGCAAUAAAAAUAAAUCCAAUAAAGAAAAGUUGAAUAAAAGAAACCCAACAACUUCAAAACUAGGCUUUUAGGCACUGUUAAGGUCUUCUGCUUUAUAAGGGAUAGCCUAUGAUGGAGCAGCUAGCUAGUCAGGAGGUUUGGAUCAAUCCUCCAAUACAUCCUCCAAUUUCAAGGUUGGCCUAGCUUGUCUCAGAAUAAACCUUUUAUCUCACUGGUUUUCAAUGGUUAUUGCACUGUCCCCUUACUGUCAUCUUUAAAGGAUUUCACCACAUGCAUGGCCUUCCUCUUUGGUUAGCCUGAUCCAGGUUUCAGCCAGUGAUGGAAAAGCAAGCUCAGGCUGAAAGGAUAUCUCCAUUGUGGACAAGGUGAGGUUAUUCUAAGAGGAGGCCAUACCUCCGGGCCAAGGCGAAGACAUCUGGCCACCUCGGUUGGCUUCCUCACCAUCACAGCGCUUACUGAAGGCUUAGUUGGAGACGAACAUUGGGCAAACUUCUCCUUCAGCAUCUUCAGUUUACAGUACUAACUCAGCUUCUUUAUAACAAGAAAAUAGAUCCUAUCAGCGUGGCCGUUUCUAGGCCUGAUCAAGGGCUGGCAGCUUGCACAGAUUCUCACCAACCCUGCUAUGACCAAGCAUGAUGGAAAUAACCCUCCGUUUUUGUGGUGCUUCUAGUUUCAUAACUUGCCUCUUUCUUUCCCAUACCUCACACACUCUCUCCCGGCACAAGUAAAUACAUUUCAGUAGUGCAAUGCAGUGCAGUCAUAUUUA
rnacentral:lncRNA from 1 species